rnacentral:rRNA from 1 species
UACGUAGGGUGCAAGCGUUGUCCGGAAUUAUUGGGCGUAAAGGGCUCGUAGGCGGUUUGUCGCGUCAGGAGUGAAAACUCGGGGCUUAACCCCGAGCCUGCUUCUGAUACGGGCAGACUAGAGGUAUGCAGGGGAGAACGGAAUUCCUGGUGUAGCGGUGAAAUGCGCAGAUAUCAGGAGGAACACCAAUAGCGAAGGCAGCUCGCUGGGACGUUACUGACACUGAGGCGCGAAAGCGUGGGGAGCGAACAGG